rnacentral:tRNA from 1 species
GCCCGGGUGGUGGAACGGUAGACACUAGGGACUUAAAAUCCCUUGCUCGCAAGAGCGUGCGGGUUCGAGCCCCGCCCCGGGCA